GUAGGUAGCAAGCGUUGUCCGGAAUUAUUGGGCGUAAAGCGCGCGCAGGCGGUUCUUUAAGUCUGAUGUGAAAGCCCACGGCUCAACCGUGGAGGGUCAUUGGAAACUGGAGAACUUGAGUACAGAAGAGGAAAGCGGAAUUCCACGUGUAGCGGUGAAAUGCGUAGAGAUGUGGAGGAACACCAGUGGCGAAGGCGGCUUUCUGGUCUGUAACUGACGCUGAGGCGCGAAAGCGUGGGGAGCAAACAGGAUUAGAUACCCUGGUAGUCCACGCCGUAAACGAUGAGUGCUAAGUGUUAGGGGGUUUCCGCCCCCCUUAGUGCUGCAGCUAACGCAUUAAGCACUCCGCCUGGGAGUACGGCCGCAAGGCUG
rnacentral:rRNA from 1 species